rnacentral:lncRNA from 1 species
AAAAAGGGGACAAAAAGUAGAUCAUCUUUUUACCAAUUCAGUAGUCCAGAGCUACAGAAAUUAUCAAUAACAAACAUAUGUAGUUCCUAAGAAAUUUCUUUUGUUGUGCUCCUUAGAUGUUCAAAAAUCUUGCUAAAGCCCCUGCAUCUUUUCGUCAACUUUUCAAGAUAUUGCAGUGGGAUUUGCUUACUAAGUAAAAGGUAACUUAAAUUGUGACAUAGCUUUUACUAACUAAGUAGGAAAAAUUUAGCUACAGUAGUAGCUAGGGUUCGGUCGAAGUAGCUUCUUAAUUAAUUUUUUAUCAUCUUAUGGUGCAGGAAGCUCUUAAAAGGAUCUGCAGUUGGGAG